rnacentral:rRNA from 1 species
UGGGUAACCUACCUAUAAGACUGGGAUAACUUCGGGAAACCGGAGCUAAUACCGGAUAAUAUUUCGAACCGCAUGGUUCGAUAGUGAAAGAUGGUUUUGCUAUCACUUAUAGAUGGACCCGCGCCGUAUUAGCUAGUUGGUAAGGUAACGGCUUACCAAGGCGACGAUACGUAGCCGACCUGAGAGGGUGAUCGGCCACACUGGAACUGAGACACGGCCAGACUCCUACGGGAGGCAGCAGUAGGGAAUCUUCCGCAAUGGGCGAAAGCCUGACGGAGCAACGCCGCGUGAGUGAUGAAGGUCUUCGGAUCGUAAAACUCUGUUAUUAGGGAAGAACAUACGUGUAAGUUACUGUGCACGUCUUGACGGUACCUAAUCAGAAAGCCACGGCUACUCGUC